CUGCCUCGACAAGAGUUCCUCGCCUCUAUGUUACACUCACCUGUUGCAAACAAAGCUCGGAGGGAUAGUCUCCGUGUCUAUGCACAUGAGGUGAAGCCCCUCGAAGACUACUAUAGGAAGCAGAGAAAACUUUUAGACUUUCAUGUUGACGGUGCCACAUCAGCAGAAACCUGGCAGGGCUUGUUGGCAGCUUUGCAUCUGAAGCAGUUGAA